GACGAACGCUGGCGGCGUGCUUAACACAUGCAAGUCGAACGAUGAAGCCGGAGCUUGCUCUGGUGAAUUAGUGGCGAACGGGUGAGUAACACGUGAGUAACCUGCCCUUGACUCUGGGAUAACUGCGGGAAACUGUAGCUAAUACCGGAUACGACCCUCGGAGGCAUCUCCUGGGGGUGGAAAGAAUUUCGGUCAAGGAUGGACUCGCGGCCUAUCAGCUAGUUGGUGGGGUAACGGCUCACCAAGGCGACGACGGGUAGCCGGCCUGAGGGGGUGACCGGCCACACUGGGACUGAGACACGGCCCAGACGCCUACGGGAGGCAGCAGUGGGGAAUAUUGCACAAUGGGCGCAAGCCUGAUGCAGCAACGCCGCGUGAGGGAUGACGGCCUUCGGGUUGUAAACCUCUUUUAGUAGGGAAGAAGCGAAAGUGACGGUACCUGCAGAAAAAGCACCGGCUAACUACGUGCCAGCCGCCGCCGUAA
rnacentral:rRNA from 1 species